UACGUAGGGGGCUAGCGUUGUCCGGAAUCAUUGGGCGUAAAGCGCGUGUAGGCGGUCCGGUAAGUCCGCUGUGAAAGUCGGGGGCUCAACCCUCGGAUGCCGGUGGAUACUGUCGGGCUUGAGUACGGAAGAGGCGAGUGGAAUUCCUGGUGUAGCGGUGAAAUGCGUAGAUAUCAGGAGGAACGCCGGCGGCGAAAGCGACUCUCUGGCCUGUAACUGACGCUGAGGCGCGAAAGCUAGGGGAGCAAACGGG
rnacentral:rRNA from 1 species